rnacentral:rRNA from 1 species
GACGAACGCUGGCGGCGUGCUUAACACAUGCAAGUCGAACGGAAAGGCCCUGCUUUUGUGGGGUGCUCGAGUGGCGAACGGGUGAGUAACACGUGAGUAACCUGCCCUUGACUUUGGGAUAACUUCAGGAAACUGGGGCUAAUACCGGAUAGGAGCUCCUGCUGCAUGGUGGGGGUUGGAAAGUUUCGGCGGUUGGGGAUGGACUCGCGGCUUAUCAGCUUGUUGGUGGGGUAGUGGCUUACCAAGGCUUUGACGGGUCGCCGGCCUGAGAGGGUGACCGGCGACCAUGGGACUGAGGGACGGAGCAGACUCGUACGGGAGGCAGCAGUGGGGAAUAUUGCACAGUGGGCGGAAGUCUGAGGAAGAAACGCCGCGUGCGGGAUGACGGCCUUCGGGUUGUAAACCGCUUUCGCCUGUGACGAAGCGUGAGUGACGGUAAUGGGUAAAGAAGCACCGGCUAACUACGUG